rnacentral:snRNA from 1 species
GGAUGUGAAGAUGAUCGGGCUGUGACAUCUAUCACUCCAUUGAUUGCCAAGGUUGAUUUGGCUGAUCUGGUUGGCUGGGUAAGUGUUUCCUCACUGGUCCAUGUGAGUUCCUCCCGAGGUUGUUCACUGGAGGACGAGGAAAUCACCCCCGACAGAGGAGGACCAUUCCUUCGCCAAGGGUAUAGGAGUAGCUGCUCUCCCUUGCUAGAAUUUCCAAACAAGCUCUCUAGAAGCGCCUUUAUUGUGCAUGGCUUUUCCAUGUUCCUUGAUUAGGCAUUUAAAUCAUAUAUAAUAAAGCUGUGGCUGUUUGUUUCAGA